CUUGCUGAUACCGGUCCACGUGAAGCGGGAAGUCCAGCUUCGAGGCAGGAACCUGUGGCUCUUCCAGGACGGCCCAAGGAGCAGUGAGUGUGUGCUGGUGCUGGAGGGCCUCGAGGUGGCAGUGGAGGCUCAGGUGGAGUGUGAGCCACCUCCAGACACAUGGUGCCACAUCAAGUGCCAGCAGCACCAGUUCAGCUAUGAAGCUUCAAAGCCAGAACUCCAAGUGGGACUGUUCCUGCGCUGGGCGGGUGGUCUGCGUGUGGACAGUCCCGAGAAGCCUGUAAUGAAGCCGAGACCGUGGCUACCCAGUGCCCUGCACCUCUAAUUCACUCGGUGGAGCCGCUGACUGGACCUAUAGACGGAGGCACCCGUGUCACCAUCAGGGGCUCCAACCUGGGCCAGCAUGUCCAGGAC
rnacentral:lncRNA from 1 species